CCUACGGGUGGCAGCAGUGAGGAAUAUUGGUCAAUGGACGAGAGUCUGAACCAGCCAAGUAGCGUGAAGGAUGACUGCCCUAUGGGUUGUAAACUUCUUUUAUAAAGGAAUAAAACGAGGUACGUGUGCCUUUUUGCAUGUACUUUAUGAAUAAGGAUCGGCUAACUCCGUGCCAGCAGCCGCGGUAAUACGGAGGAUCCGAGCGUUAUCCGGAUUUAUUGGGGUUAAAGGGAGCGUAGAUGGGUUGUUAAGUCAGUUGUGAAAGUUUGCGGCUCAACCGUGAAAUUGCAUUUGAUACUGGCAGUCUUGAGUACAGUUGAGGUAGGCGGAAUUCAUGGUGUAGCGGUGAAAUGCUUAGAUAUCACGAAGAACCCCGAUUGCGAAGGCAGCUUACUAAACUGUUACUGACGUUGAGGCUCGAAAGUGUGGGUAGCAAACAGGAUUAGAUACCCCAGUAGUC
rnacentral:rRNA from 1 species